UGUUUAUUUUGGUCCGGUUUUGUUUACAAACAUUGACCGUACUGCACUAUAUACAAACUUAUCCAUAAACCAGUCAGUGUUGACUGAAUACUUGAAGGAUCUAGUUACACCCCAGAGUGUCAUUGUGGUAUAAACACCUGAAGAUGAAUAAACUUUUCCUUCUACCGUUCUGUACCUUUCGUUCUGAGAGAAACCAUUUCAGUCCUUCAUGUUAACUUAUUAUAAGUCGCCGACCGGCGCGAAACAUACACAUACAGUACACAGUUCAGUUAAAAUUUACAAAAACAUGCAGUACAUAAUAAAUUUUAUAUUUA